GACGAACGCUGGCGGCGUGCUUAACACAUGCCAGUCGAACGAAGAGCGAUGGAAGCUUGCUUCUAUCAAUCUUAGUGGCGAACGGGUGAGUAACGCGUAAUCAACCUGCCCUUCAGAGGGGGACAACAGUUGGAAACGACUGCCAAUACCGCAUACGAUCUAAUCUCGGCAUCGAGGAUAGAUGAAAGGUGGCCUCUACAUGUAAGCUAUCACUGAAGGAGGGGAUUGCGUCUGAUUAGCUAGUUGGAGGGGUAACGGCCCACCAAGGCGAUGAUCAGUAGCCGGUCUGAGAGGAUGAACGGCCACAUUGGGACUGAGACACGGCCCAGACUCCUACGGGAGGCAGCAGUGGGGAAUCUUCCGCAAUGGACGAAAGUCUGACGGAGCAACGCCGCGUGAGUGAUGACGGCCCUCGGGUUGUAAAGCUCUGUUAAUCGGGACGAAAGGCCUUCUUGCGAAUAGUGAGAAGGAUUGACGGUACCGGAAUAGAAAGCCACGGCUAACUACGUG
rnacentral:rRNA from 1 species